rnacentral:antisense_RNA from 1 species
UGAGGGGAUUUAUCCCCGAUGGACUGCGCAGCAGUCCCUGCUUUCAACUAAGCGGGGGCCGCUUCGCGACCCAUCGGGGAUAAAUCCCCUCG